rnacentral:rRNA from 1 species
AGCAGCCGCGGUAAUUCCAGCUCCAAUAGCGUAUAUUAAAGUUGCUGCAGUUAAAAAGCUCGUAGUUGAAUUUCGGGACCAUCAUGUCGGUCGUGCCUCGGUACGUACUGGCAUUGUUGGUUUCUCCCUUCUGAAGAACCAUGAUGUCAUUAAUUUGGUGUCUUGGGGAAUCAGGACUGUUACUUUGAAAAAUUAGAGUGUUUAAAGCAGGCUCGCGCUUGAAUACAUUAGCAUGGAAUAAUGAAAUGGGACGUUUGAUUCUAUUUUGUUGGUUUCUAGGAUCGACGUAAUGAUUAAUAGGGAUAGUUGGGGGCAUUAGUAUUCAAUUGUCAGAGGUGAAAUUCUUGGAUUUAUUGAAGACUAACUACUGCGAAAGCAAUUUGCCAAGGAUGUUUUCAUUAAUCAAGAACGAAAGUUAGGGGAUCGAAGACG